rnacentral:snRNA from 1 species
AUACUUGUCUGGCAAGGGAGAUACCAUGACCAUGAAGGUGGUUUUCCCAGGGCGAGGCUUAUCCAUUGCACUCCAGAUGUGCUGACCCCUGAGAUUUCCCAAAUGUGGGAAACUCGACUGCAUAAUUGAUGGUAGCAGGGGACUGCAUUAGCGCUUUCCCCUU